GACGUAGGGGGCCAGCGUUGUUCGGAAUUACUGGGCGUAAAGGGCUCGUAGGCGGCCAACUAAGUCGGAUGUGAAAUCCCCAGGCUCAACUUGGGAACUGCAUCCGAUACUGGAUGGCUUGAAUUCGGGAGAGGGAUGCAGAAUUCCAGGUGUAGCGGUGAAAUGCGUAGAUAUCUGGAGGAAUACCGGUGGCGAAGGCGGCAUCCUGGACCGACAUUGACGCUGAGGAGCGAAAGCUAGGGGAGCAAACGGG
rnacentral:rRNA from 1 species